AACUUUCAACAACGGAUCACUUGGCUCCGGCAUCGAUGAAGAACGCAGCGAAAUGCGAUAAGUAAUAUGAAUUGCAGAAUUCAGUGAAUCAUCGAGUCUUUGAACGCACAUUGCGCCCGCCAGUACUCUGGCGGGCAUGCCUGUCCGAGCGUCAUUUCAACCCUCGAGCCCAGCUCGGCGUUGGGGCGCGCGGGGGACUCUAAUGUCCCCCGCGGCCCCCAAAUACAGCGGCGGCCGCCGAAGGGAUGCCCCCUGCGCAGUAGCAAGCCUCUCGCACCGGGAACCCGCGGACGGCCCGCCCCCAACCACCAAAGCAGGCGGACCCCCCAGGGGGGACGCCGACAACCAGGUUGACCUCGGAUCAGGUAGGAAUACCCGCUGAACUUAAGCAUAUCAAUAAGCGGAGGCU
rnacentral:misc_RNA from 1 species